UGGACAGUGAUAACUGGUGGCGUAUGAGUCAUACGAUGAACGCUAUGUGUCCGGAAGUCUGACGCCCCA
ensembl:snoRNA